rnacentral:rRNA from 1 species
UACGAAGGGGGCUAGCGUUGCUCGGAAUUACUGGGCGUAAAGGGCGCGUAGGCGGACAGUUUAGUCAGAGGUGAAAGCCCAGGCUCAACCUUGGAAUUGCCUUUGAUACUGGCUGUCUUGAGUUCGGGAGAGGUGAGUGGAACUCCGAGUGUAGAGGUGGAAAUUCGUAGAUAUUCGGAAGAACACCAGUGGCGAAGGCGACUCACUGGCCCGAUACUGACGCUGAGGCGACGAAAGCGUGGGGAGCAAACAGG